AAAGCCAUCACUAAUCACUACAAAGCAAUACAAAUCACCGUCAAUUUGCCACUGUACCGAUGCUCAGUUCACCGCCGUUGCAGUGACGAACUGGGCAUCGCGGCAAAGAUCAUGUGGGCUUGAAGUGCCACAACUCAAAUUAGUGACGAUCUGUGCUUGUUGGAUAUUGCUCCAACAGCCGGUUUACCACUACAGCAACGCUCAGUACACAGCCAUUACAGUGGUGAAUUAAGCGUCGCGGCUAAGACUAAGGGUGCUCAAAGCACCCUGUGAACUGAGUGUCAUGACUCAGAUCGUCAACGCUCAACGACGAUUUGAUCUUGUCGGUUGCUGCUUUGUUCCUCCCAGUCACGUUGUUCUGAUGGUGGCAUCUUCACAGUCAACAGAGGCGAUGUCAGCUUGAAGGAUAUAGAGAGAAUGGAGAAAUGUGAUAGAGAUAAUUAGGG
rnacentral:lncRNA from 1 species